UUCUAGAAAAGACAUGAGAUUGACGUUUCGAAGUCUUCGGCUACAAUAAAGCAAACAAAUUUUCAUAAUGGACUUCGAAACUUUAUUUAGCGAAAACGCUCGAUUCGCAAAUGCAACAUCCGAAAGCUCUACCUUCCUACGUAGCAAAAAAGCUUGAUUUUGAAAUUCAACUUGCGAAAUGAAUAGCGGCGGUUUUAUAUAUAUUGUUUAUUUCGGUACGAAAAAAAGUUAAUUUCUCAUUAACUUUUUUUUCGGAAUUUUCCAAAACCUUUUGGUUAACAA
rnacentral:misc_RNA from 1 species